rnacentral:rRNA from 1 species
UUUAUAAUAUUACCAAGGUAAUUAUUAUAUUAUCAACAUCCUUCCUAUUAUAUUCUAAAUAUAUAGGAAAUUUUACUUUGAGAAAAUUAGAGUGCUUAAAGCAGGCAACUGCCUUGAAUACUCCAGCAUGGAAUAAUAAGUAAGGACUUUUGUCUUUCUUAUUGGUUCUAGGACAAAAGUAAUGGUUAAUAGGGACAGUUGGGGGCAUUCGUAUUUAACAGCCAGAGGUGAAAUUCUUAGAUUUGUUAAAGACGAACUACUGCGAAAGCAUUUGCCAAGGAUGUUUUCAUUAAUCAAGAACGAAAGUUAGGGGAUCGAAGACGAUCAGAUACCGUCGUAGUCU